GCCUGCAACAUAGCAUUAAUGCAUCAGAUCCUAUUAGAAAUCUACAGUUAAGUGUGCUUAGGCUAGAGUAGCACUGGGAUGGGUGAUUGCCCAGGAAGUCCUAGUGUUUUACAUGCC
rnacentral:rRNA from 1 species